rnacentral:rRNA from 1 species
GUCCACGCCGUAACGAUGAUAACUGGUUGUUGGCGAUAUAUUGUCAGCGACUGAGCGAAGCAUUAAGUUAUCCACCUGGGAGUACGUCGGCAACGAUGAACUCAAAGGAAUUGACGGGGCCCGCACAAGCGGAGGAACAUGUGGUUUAAUUCGAUGAUACGCGAGGAACCUUACCUGGGCUCGAACGCAAACGUGCUUGUUCUUGAAAGAGGACAUUCCGCAAGGACGCGUUGCGAGGUGCUGCAUGGUUGUCGU